CUGAAUGAGUAAGCCAGUAUCGCUCUUGUUGGUGAAAUGAAUACAAUACCAAUUCCAUUUCCUUCUCCAUUGGAGGAUCCAUCCACCAAUAUCUCUCAUUUGUUUGGAUUUCGCUCAUUUAAUAAAUCAUUAGGAUUUCCAUGUUCUUCAUCCACCUCCAUCAUUUCUUCUACAUAUUCAUCUUCUUCUAUUGGAAAUUCUGCAAGAAACUCUGCGGUAACUUGAGACUUUGGUGAAGAUAAAAUUUCAUAACCAAUCUCAUAGUUUCCUAAUUGUGCAUUCCACCUCUCUAUUCUUCCUGACCUCUUCGAAUUCUUCAUUGCGUUUUCAAUUGGUGGUGGCAUAUCUCUAAUCGCUUGUACCAUCUCCGGAUCAACUUGUAUUCCCUCCUUGGAUAUAAUAUAUCCUAAAAUUUUUCCUGAUGAUACGCCAAUUACACAUUUUUCUGGGUUUACUUUAAUAUUGAAUUUUCACAUUUGUUCAAAUAUUGAUCGCAAAUCAUCAACAUGAUCUUUCGCCUCUUUGCUUUUAGUUAGCAUAUCAUCUACAUAGACUUCUAAUGUUUUACGUAUCCAUUUUUUUCGAAUACUUUCUGCACCAUUCUUUGAUAAGUUGCACCUGCAUUCUUCAAUCCAAAUGGCAUUUUCGUGUAACAAUAUAAACCUCCUGGUGCGAAGAAAGCAGUGUGUUCUUGAUCUUCUUCUGUCAAAGAAAUUUGAUUCUAGCCUUUAUACCCAUCUAACAUUGUGAGUAUAUCAUUCCUUGAUGCCGAUUCCACCAUUUGAGGUAUGUCGGGUAAAGGGAAGCUGUCUUUAGGGCACAUUUUGUUUAGAUCUGUAAAAUCUAUGGAAAUCCUAAUUCCGAUGUUCUUUUUAGGUACCACCACCAUAUUUGCUAUGCACUCUGGAUAUUUUGCCUCCCUUAUAAUUCCUACAUCUAACAUCUUCUGCAAUGCUGCUUCUAUUUUAGGAUGAUAGUCAGUUGCAAUCUUCCUUGUCCUUUGCUUGAACGGCUUUACAUUCUUCUUAAUGUUUAAUUUAUGACAUGCGACAGACGGAGCUAUUUCUGACAUUUCUUUCAUACUCCAUGCGAAAAUAUCAUUAUAUUCUCGCAGAAUGCUUAUCGUUUUUUCCUCUUCUUCUUUAUCCAUUUUAGUUCCAAUUCUUUAAAUUUUUGGUUCUUCUCCAGUUCCUAUAUUUAUUUCAUUUGCUGGUUCCGCUGCAGUAAAAUUCGCUUUUGGUUCCCUCAUAGGUGUUGGUUUCUUAAUUUUUUUAAUUUGUCCACCUUCCUCCGCUGGUUCUUCGCCUGGUAUUCCUUUUCCCUCUUUCGCUCUUAUCAUGUAAAUUCGAAAUUCCUCUUCUUUCCUUUGUUCUAUUGCUUUUAUCCAUCGAUCCUUUCGCUUCUUUGCUCUCCCUUCAUAAUUUCGCACAUCUAUUUGAUUUCAAGUAUUCACAACCUUAACAUCUCCUUUGAUUUUACCUAUACCGCUUGGAAUAGGGAAUACAUUGAUGUAAUGUUGAAGCUACGACCUUUAGUCCAUGUACCCAUGGUCGUCCCAACAACAUGUUGUAUGGUGACUCAAUGUCAAUCACACACAGUGUUAUCUUUGUUUGAACCUCUCCCAGUAAUAUUCGCAUAACGAUUUCUCCUUUUGGAUUUGUAAUUUCUCUAUUGAAUCCAUGAACAUUAUAUGAUGUGGUUGUCAUUUCUGCAUCUUCAUAUCCUAUUUCUUUGAAUUUGCGAUAAAAUAUUACAUCAACUACACUUCCUAUAUCUAUCAAUGUUCUAUCAAUCGCCCAUCCUUCAAAUCCCCUCUGUUUUCCAAUAAUUUUUUCUCGCUCAGCUGUGACCGUAAUUACUAAUGGAUCUGUUCGCUGUAAAUUUUCUUCUGGAAUUUCAUCCGCUGCAAAGGAAAUUUUCACCUUUUCUCAAUCUUGUAAUGAAAUUCUUUGUCUACCGUCUCUAUCUUCUUACCUUCGUAAUUUGUUUUAUGAAUUCUCCCUGUUACUGUUGCUUGAAAAUCUGCCUCAGAAAUUGAUACUAUAAUUAUGUUAUUACACUGUAUAUCUCUGCCUCUUCCUUGAAUUAGUAUGAGUCUUCUCUUCAUGGAUCCCUUAUGAUUCUUCCUUAAUUUCCCUAAGAACUUCAGAUCUAUUAACAAGAAUUAUCAUCCAGAGCUGUUUCUAGCGCCAAAAAUGUAGUUGUCAUAAAUCUUACAAUUAUGUUCCACUAUCACUAAAUGAGAAUUUAGGUAACCAUCUUCUUAUUAUAUGAAAUGUAGAUAGAAUUACAAAGAUUGAUCCAACUAUUACAAUGAUCUAUUUUCCCUAGAUUUACUUUCUGUUUCUAUUUCUUGACCAAGACUCACUCCAGAACUCCCUCACAAGUAAUGAUUUCUCUCCUUUAUAUAAGAAUUUACAUAGUGGAUGACAACUAAGAAACCCACUAUUUUCAGGAUCACUAUGCGACACAUUCGCUCAUAUACAAUCGCUCAUCUUCGCAUAGAAUAUCUCUUCGCACAGUUCUUCGCACUUUACUCGUGACUUUGUUGACAUCAUCUGGUGCGUCAUCUCAACUUUAUUGUGUGCGAUGCUCUUCGCUUAGAUUGUAUUCUUUACUUCGCGUGAUUACUAACAUGUGCGGUAUUUUACUCCUCCAAUACUUAGAGAAUUUUCUUCAUGUAAAAAGAUAUUAUGCAUGCAGACCAUGAGCACCGAGGCUCCAUUAUGAUAACCAGAAGACAAAGUCUCAAUUUUAUAGUCGUCAAGAGUUUUUUCAAAAACCAGACGUGGCGGAUUAUCCGGAAAUCCUUCCCUGUCUUGAUCCAAAGUCUAUUAUCAAUGUUGAACUCUCCACUAUUUCCAAGCCAAUGUGCUUCCCAGAUAGGUUUCUUAUAAGGAUUUGUAUCUGUAAAUUGAAUUGAGUUGAGCAAUUAGAUCACAUACAAUUAAUUCCGUCCAUGUGUCCAGUAGAAUAUCACCAUUUUCAAAAGACCUAAUUGGUUUAACGCAGUGAUAGUUAAUCAAUGUAAAAAUGGUAAAUCGCUUAGUCCAGGAAUUUUGCACUCCAUAAUCUUGCAUGACCCAUAUAUGUGUCCAUUGGACCAUGUUCGAAACCAAUAGCUUAAACAAAGACAGUCUCCCAGCAAUGCCACAUGUUUAUAGAUUCUUUUGUCUUCUUCGCAACGUUUUUGUAGAAUUUUCAGAGGAUGCUCCUUGGGAAGCGGUUGGAAAGCCUAACCAAUGGAGAGUUAAUGCCCUUACCAAAAUUAGACCAAUCACAUGUUCCAAGUGUAGUUUCUUACCAAAGAAUAAAUUAAAUGUGUAGAUUUGGUUAUCAUUUUCAGCGCCACUAAUACCACUUCAUGUUUCAGAUUCUUGAUGUCUGCACCAUCAUUUGCAUCAUUUAAUACCAUGUCCUACUUUCAUCAGUCUUGUGACACCUACAAAUCCUUAACCGUUCAAUGAAAUGUGCGCAAGUAAUAACGAUGUUGAGAACAAAAGCAUCAUUGGGUUGGUUUGAAGUCUAUGUGCAAGCCUCUCUCUCGAGGGGGGUUUAGGAGUUAGAAGACUGAAGCCUUUAAAUUAGUUAAUACAACAGUGGAAGAGAACCCGUCAUUAUACUUCUUCGACAUGGGAAAGAUAGCAAUGCUUACAUUUACCUGCCAAUCCCCAAGAAAACAAAAAAAAAAAAAUUCAUUUCUCAAAUCACAAAUUGUAUUUACUAAAUCAAUACAUAUUACACAAAAAUAAGCUAAGAAACAUAAAUCCGAUUACCCAAUGUGUAGGAAGCUCUUCCCACCAUGGAACUGUAAUGCUAUCAAGCUCAGUUUUUAAAGAUCAUAAAUCUAUGAUGAACUUGCUUCGGGAUCACACGUGCUUUCAAAUCUAGAAAUAUUCUCUCAACUGAAAAAUACAGAGUCAUAUAUACCUGGGUUAAGAAGAAAUUAGAGCUUCAUUUUUAUUGAAUCAUUGAUCCCCAAGAAAAUGAAACUGCUGUGACAUCAAGUUAACCAAGAGACUAAAUUGAAACCGAUGCCGUCAAAAUGCCUAGGAUUCGCAAUUGGAAUAACAGAGAAGUGAUAGCAGGAAAGUAUGGUGAUAGGAACUCUAGGUGGAGAACAAAAGAUACAAAAGAUCCAUAUGGGGUUAGCAUUUGGAGGCACAUCAACUCAGUGACAAACACUUUCUUUGGGGACAUACAAAUUCAAAAUUGGACACGGUUCUUCGAUUAGAUUAUGGGAAGACAAAUGGUGUAGUGAAGGAAUCCUUGCUGCUCUCUGUCCUUCUCUUUACGCUUUUUCAAGUACUAAGAACAUUUCCUUACUAGAUGUGAGGGUUUCUGCUGAAGGUGGUUUCUUUUGGGAUUUAGGUCUCAAUAACAGAAGAAGAUUGUAUGAUCAUGAAAUUCAGGAGCUUCUUAUCGCUUUACCUAUGUUGGAAGUUGUUCAUUUUAAUUAAGACGAAGAGGAUGAAAUGGUUUGGGUGGGUCAUAAAAGCGGUAUUUUUUCGGUGAAGUCUGCCUAUGCGCUUGAAGUUAAUUUGGUGGCAGGUGAUAAUUCUUUCCCCCAAAAGAAAAUUUGGUCGAUGAAAUGGCCUAUGAAGCAUGGAUUCUUCCUUUGGCAGGCCGUGCUGAACCGUCUCCAACUCUCACCAAUUUACAGAAAAAGGGCUCUGCUUUUAUUAAUCCUAAUGGCUCGCCAAUUCCAACUCUUGCAUUUUCUGUGGCACUCAUGCAGAAAAUAACGAUCACUUGUUCCUCCAUUGUUCUUUUGCCUCUAGAAUAUGGAGCUUCUUUCAAAAUGGUGCAAGAAGAGUAGUCCUUACUCCACAUCAAUCUAUUUUGGAUGUCAUCUCUAAUUGUAAUACAGCUGGUCUUACUCCUCUAGGGAAGGAAAUUUGGAAAAAGAUUCCCACUAGUAUUAUGUGGAACUUGUGGAUCGAAAGAAACAAGCGGACUUUCAACGGCCAAAGUCUGCAGUUCUCUUCUAUAAUUGCUAACAUUAAAAAUUUAAAAUUCAAACUUUUUACUGGGCGUCUAUGGAA